GCCCUAAUCCUCUGCCGUAAUUCGCGUCUUCCAGACCUUCCUAUCUAGGGUCAUGUCCUCGGUGAGCUGUAACUGUUCCAUGUCCCGCCUAAUCACCUCACCCCAGUACUUCUUCGGCCUACCCCUACCCUGCCUAAAUUUAUUUCGGGACUAUCUCCCGAAUUAGUCCUUAAGAGUAAGGCAACUUUGUUGAUCAAUGAUUUAAACAUCUCUAGGUUGGUUGCGUAUAUGCAAAAACUGAAGGAAGGAAAAAAGAAACAGGGUG
rnacentral:lncRNA from 1 species